rnacentral:misc_RNA from 13 species
AAGGUUAACCCAUGCAAGCCUCAAUGCAGACUAUAUAAAAGUGAAACUCCAAAAGACUCAGUAAACAAGUUUUAAUUUACUACAGUUAACUAGACAGUGCUUGGAUGACUGUGUUAAUUGUCGAACUAAUGCAACGAACCAGGUCGUGGUCAUUCGUGUUCAGGGCGUUUUUAUUAAACCAAGAUCACCCACCCGACAAGUCCGGGCUUUAAUGUGAGGAACCUAUAUAACAAAUGUUUAUUUGGAGAUUUUGAGAUGCGGUCUGGUAUGACGUAGGUUUAGAAAAACAAAAAAAGUUCGAUUCCGGAGACGAAGCAUGAGGAACGGCUUCAACCAAGGAAGGCGACAUGCACGCAAAUUACCAACUCCCGGCACUCGGAGUUGUG